rnacentral:rRNA from 1 species
UACGUAGGUGGCAAGCGUUGUCCGGAUUUACUGGGCGUAAAGGAUGCGUAGGCGGACUUUUAAGUGGGAUGUGAAAUUCCGAGGCUCAACCUCGGCGCUGCAUUCCAAACUGGAAGUCUAGAGUGCGGGAGAGGAAAGUGGAAUUCCUAGUGUAGCGGUGAAAUGCGUAGAGAUUAGGAAGAACACCAGUGGCGAAGGCGACUUUCUGGACCGUAACUGACGCUGAUGCAUGAAAGCGUGGGGAGCAAACAGG